CAGCUUCACGAGAGAAGUGCAACAUCUUCAUUUUCUAACUUUGCAGCAUAUGAGCCAAAUCCAUGCACUUUGGUUUUUUUUUUUUGCUUUUUUCUUUCUUUCUUUUUCUGCAUAUAAUCUUUAAGUGCAGUUAAUUCCUCAAAUCCUGUUUUCACAUUGCAAAAAUGCGACAGUUUUCAACAAUGUGCUUCCAUGGCACUGUACGCAAAUUGGUAUGCAUCUGCAACUUGGGGCUGAAAGGAAGAGUACAUAAAGAUUACAGCAGUUUAAGAGGGUGGGAUCACAAAAUUAAAAGGAGGGAAAUGAACAAGAGCACAUUUAGAUAUCUUUAGAUAUCUCUUCUGACUUCUACAAGUUCACAGAAUAAAUGAAAGUGCUUGGGAUGUAUCCAAACUCAGGUACUUUUGAGGUCUUACUAGCACCUUUCUGGCUUAAUAUUUUUCUGCAGUGUAAUGGGCAGAGAAAUGAUCUCCAUAUCGUGCAGUCACUAAAUUGGAGUCUGUGUGAACAGGCAGAUAUUUGACCAGCCAUGAAUAAAGCUGUAGCCACAGGCAGUUUGCCGGAUGCUGGGUCAAUCAACAACAUAACCAGGAGACAGCACCUAAAAGAUGAGGUAGGUCAUAAGAAAUGGACAAAUGAAGGAGAGAGAAGGGAACCAGGCAUUUUCGGAGGGUUAAACUAAGGUAUGAAAAACUUGUGGAAAGGCUCAUAUGGAACCGUAAGAAUCAGUCAAGGAGGAAAUAACCAACGCAGGGGGCAAGACACCUAGGAAUGUACCUGCUGUUUUUAAGCAGAGAUGAGAGUGCUGAUGGAGCUCUUCUAGUAUUGAACUGAAUGUAUCCAUCAGCAGUGUUGAAAGAGGUAAAACCAGUCCAGAGGCAAACACAUAUGUAAUUUGUCAUUUGGAAUGAGCAUUCCCAAUUUAGCUUUCAACCAAUGGCAAAUUCUAGUCAUAGCAGUGAGAUGCCAAAUAUUAAUUUAGGCAAAGCUACACUACUAUACUGUCUUGGAAGCUGUAUGAUUAGAAGAAGUCAAUGGAGUAUAACUGAUUUAAUUUCUUAUUUUCAUUUCAUAACUAAGAGCAACUCAAGGGAAUUCUGAAUACAGAGUCUUGCUCAAUCUACAACAUAAUUGGACUGGCUGACUGAACUAGCUGGUUGGCUAAAAUUGUAUCCUGAUUAAAAUGUAAAACUUUUUUUCCAAAUGGCAAAGCUGUAAUUCCUGAGCCCCAUUUGAGAAUUACAGUGCAAAGAGAAAGAAAGUGCAUGGGUGUCAGACAGCCUCUGUUGUUCCCUCCAAGUUAUAAAUAAGUUAGGAUACUCACAGUGCUCUGUACCAGAGAAAGCCAAGAUCAAGGCCAGGGGUCACAGUCCUCCCUGAAAAGAAUUGCAGCAUGCAAUAUAAUCCUACAUGCUCUAGCAAUAUGUAGUCUAAAUAGAAAUGAACAGGAUAGCACUGGAUUGCAGGUGGUGAAACUGUACCAGACCCUGGGAAUUUUAUGUUAAUUAAGAAAUGCUGAUUAAUAGAGAAUGGUAAAUUUUAAUAAGCCAGCAAUAAAAGAGAAAUUGCAUUUAAAUAACAGGCGUGUCUUGAUUCCCUGGAACAAAUCUUGUUUUUUUUAAUCAGGGGAAUUCACCUAAUGGAAAAUUUUUCCUGACUUAAACCAGUGUAACUUUCUGUUGGUGUUACUGACUGUGGUUUAACUCCCUGUUUCUGAGGUCUGUCUGAGUAACUGGGCUGUUGGUAAAGAGGACUAAGAAGCAGCAGAAGUUAUAGUCUCAAUACCAAAACUACUGGGUGAGGUUGUGUCAUACUAGAGGACAGAACAGAUGAUCGCAGAACUUCUUGGUCUUAAGUUUUAAGGUACAUGGAAAAGACCCAACAACACAAGAUGGUUGAGCUUGUUUCCUGAAUGUGCUCAGACAGAUAAAUAUGGGUCUGCUAGGAAAGGGAAUACUACAGGAGCUGGGACUGUGCUGCCCCAGCAAGAUCAUUCUCUUCCUCACAUUAAGGUACAACUGCACUGAGUUUCUUCCUCCUUCCACACAUAUUCUCCUUAACCACAAAGUGAUGGAGAGCCCUGAAUCUUCUCUGUUAUUGAGUGCACACAGCAACUGGGAUAUCCUGGUUUGAUGCAGGUUUUCUUAUAAGUAUCUCCCCAAAAGGAGGCAGACCUAACUGAGAAAAACUUGCCGCAUCAUUAUCUUAUACUAACAUUGCACUCUGCAUCCUUGUGUAUCAUACAGUACUUAGCAGAUUACAUAAAGGAGCUCUGUUCAAUGAGGGAACAUGGUAAUCAUAAAACAAAAAUCCAGACAGCUUUGGUAAUCCAAGCUCAAAAAUCACAGGCGUAGAAAAUCGACCAUAACUAAUGAAGAAUUAAAAGCAAGGUCUUGUUAUCAGUAAUAGAAUUCCAGAAAUUAACAUUCAAAACUUUAGGCUGAGAAACAUACAUGUUUCUGAAAAGCAGUGUAAUUGUUCAAAACAUUUAUAGAUAAGAUUUGCUUACUACCAACUUCAUAACUUCCCAUAAUGACUAGAAGUACAUACUGUAGCAAAUUCACUGUCAGACUGUUUUUCUUGCAUGGGAGGACAAUACCUCUCCAAAAAUCUCUGAAUCUGGAUAUAGAGCUCAGGCUAAAUGAAGAUGAGUCUGAUAUGUGCCUCAAAUUUCUUUGUUUGAUGCAAGCCCUAAUGUCACCACUUACUCAAUGAGGGAUUUAUCAAGACUAACUGUGGCAGGCAGAACUAAAGGCAUAUCUUGAUUAAGUGCUCUAAGAAACUGGAAUUAACCUGUGGGACUGCAGAGGUUGAGAAGUAGCGGUCUACAUGCAAGUUCUCAUUUCAGAGCACCUUGAACUCUGGCCCUUUAAAAAUCUGAUGUUUUCCUUCCAGCUCUUCUCUUCAUGCUACAAGUAAAGCCGUGGAACCUGCCAAAGUAGAAAACUAACUUAUUAGUCACAGGACAGUUGGUAGCACAUGGAGUAUACUUCUGAUUAAUUUAUCAGUCUAGGUCAUUUUAUGGCCAGCUGGCCCACCCUCAUUGUGUUACACGAGCAUGUUAAAACUAUGAAGUGUUCGCACAAAGAUACUUCUUCUUUCCUGUCAUCCUCUGUUUUAAUUCUGAGCUGAUUUCUUUAGAGAUAGAAAGCGGUGCUGUGGGAAGGCUCCAAGUAUUUCCGGGCCUGCUUCUUGUUUGCAUUAAGAGUCCCUACGUUGACAUGAAGGAAGUUUAGUUUUAAGUGAGACUCAGUCCUUCAUUUCUGUGAGGAUCAGAGAGGCAUGGGCAGUUACUUGUGUGGUGGCUUUUUGGUUGUUGUUGUUUGUUUGUUUGUUUGUUUUUAAAUAAUUCCUUUACAAUUGCAUAAAUACAGUUUGUGUUGCUUCUGUUUUGACAGACUACAUGCAGUGGUGGCUCAGAUUACUCUCUGCAAUCUACAUUUGAGGAGUUCAUUUACGCUUGGUAUUGGUCUGUUAAGAGAAAGUGUAGUGACUCAACUGGAAGUACUGGGAGGGACCCUGACCAAUUCAAUUUUUGCAUAUAAGAAAUAAUAGAAGUUUCUAAAUAGCAAAAUUAUGAAAAUCAUAAAGGGGAAGGCUAUCUAGUACUGCACUCUUUUUGGCUCCUCUAUUGAAAAUGUAACAAUAAACACAUUUUCCAGCAAACUGA